UACGUAGGAGGCGAGCGUUGUCCGGAAUUACUGGGCGUAAAGAGCGCGUAGGCGGCACGGUACGACACGUGUGAAAGCCCCCGGCUCAACUGGGGAGGGUCACGUGUAACGGCCGAGCUAUUGAGUGCAGGAGAGGGAAGUGGAACUCCGGGUGUAGCGGUGAAAUGCGUAGAUAUCGGGAGGAACACCUGUGGCGAAAGCGGCUCACUGGACCACAACUGACGCUGAUGCGCGAAAGCUAGGGGAGCAAACAGG
rnacentral:rRNA from 1 species